GGUUUUAGUGUUGUUCCCUUCAAAACAAUGCAAUAAUCCACGGUAGCAAAGAACAUGGAGAGUAUCUGUGCACUUGAUGCAUUAUAUGAGAAGGUACAUACACUCAAUGGAUCCAACACCAUUCGUGACAUUGAUUGCUUCAAUAUAUCAUAAAUAAGAAUAGAUACAUGUGGAGCUCCAAUCAUGAAAGUUGACCAAUAAAUAGAGGAAUCUAUACUUUUUCUCAAUUAUCGGUGAUUAAUUUAGAUUAU